AUUGAACGCUGGCGGCAUGCCUUACACAUGCAAGUCGAACGGCAGCACGGGAGCAAUCCUGGUGGCGAGUGGCGAACGGGUGAGUAAUACAUCGGAACGUGCUCAAUCGUGGGGGAUAACGCAGCGAAAGCUGUGCUAAUACCGCAUACGAUCUACGGAUGAAAGCAGGGGAUCGCAAGACCUUGCGCGAAUGGAGCGGCCGAUGGCAGAUUAGGUAGUUGGUGAGGUAAAGGCUCACCAAGCCGUCGAUCUGUAGCUGGUCUGAGAGGACGACCAGCCACACUGGGACUGAGACACGGCCCAGACUCCUACGGGAGGCAGCAGUGGGGAAUUUUGGACAAUGGGCGAAAGCCUGAUCCAGCCAUGCCGCGUGCAGGAUGAAGGCCUUCGGGUUGUAAACUGCUUUUGUACGGAACGAAACGGCCUUUUCUAAUAAAGAGGGCUAAUGACGGUACCGUAAGAAUAAGCACCGGCUAACUACGUGCCAGCAGCCGCGGUAAUACGUAGGGUGCAAGCGUUAAUCGGAAUUACUGGGCGUAAAGCGUGCGCAGGCGGUUAUGUAAGACAGUUGUGAAAUCCCCGGGCUCAACCUGGGAACUGCAUCUGUGACUGCAUAGCUAGAGUACGGUAGAGGGGGAUGGAAUUCCGCGUGUAGCAGUGAAAUGCGUAGAUAUGCGGAGGAACACCGAUGGCGAAGGCAAUCCCCUGGACCUGUACUGACGCUCAUGCACGAAAGCGUGGGGAGCAAACAGG
rnacentral:rRNA from 1 species